AACGGCCGUACCAUGCUGAAUAUACCGGUUCUUUUUAGAUCACCGAAGUUAAGCAUCAUUGGGCGCGGUCAGUACUUGGGUGGGUGGCCACCUGGGAACACUGCGUGCCGUU
rnacentral:rRNA from 1 species